CAGGGACACUGCUAUUGGCCACCUCUCAGUGGGAGAACUUUGUGCUCAGGGAAUCCACUUGGAUCUCCUCCCGUCUGAAUAGGAAUGAUCUGGAGAAACCUCUGACUCGGUGCUGCCCAUUGGAAUCCUUCCAUCCCCUAGGGCCUGCCUGUUGUAGUCCACACAAUAAACAUCUCUGUAAUCCUUCCAAGUCCUCAAUCUGCUGCUGACUUUCAUCUUCUUCCGGUGUCUAGAUGUGCACUGUUGACUUGGAGCAAACGUGAGUCCUGCAGCAUCUUCCUCAUGAAAUCAGACAUGGAACCACCUGAACAGGGGCACAGAUGAGCUCCCGGAUUUGUUCCCAAGUCAAGAAAGUAGACUAAUUGGACAGGCUCCCAGUCUUCACUGCGUUUCUGUGCAGGACUGGCCAUUUCGGGGACCUUGCCCUCUGCAGCCAGGAAUCAGGUGUAGGGAGGGAGGUUGCAGGCGCACCCACAUCCGCACAUGCUCUGAUUGGUGAUGCUUGAAAUCCUUGGUGACUUCCAGCUGGUGCUGCACUGUGAUUCCUCACAGCUCAAACACUGACACUGGGGGACCCUUCUCGUGCCUCGGUGUGUAAGAUUGCACUCCUCUGAGGGAUCUAUGAUAGUUAUUCAGGCAGUGAAACUCAUUCCCCGUUGCCCCGCCAAGCUAUCCAGCCCUGAAGGUCAGUCUUACAUCUUUGAAUAUUGAGUAACUGUGAGAUAUGAAAGAGGACGUGGCUAUAGAGAUUUUUGGAGAGUGACAGUAAUACGAACCCAAUUAAUAAACUUUUGCAUCCAAGAGUAUAAAUGAAUAACAAAAACAAAACGGUAACAGUAAAAAGUAACUGUUUUUACUUUAAAAAGUAACUGUUUUUAUGUUAAAAAAAAACUGUAAAAAAGAAGGAACAAAGGAAUAGACUCAAAAAGAAAAAAGAAAGAGCACCAAUAGUGGAAGGAGUCAUAAUAUUUGAAAGUUGGUAGGCAAUCACAAAGACAGCCGGUGAAUCAAAGAAAAAAUUCUUCUGUUCAUGCUCCUAUAUGGUCCCCUGCAAGUGGUGAAGGAACAGAGAAAGGCAAGUCUCAAAAAUCGUUUAACAUGCAAAUUAGAGCCCUUUAACCCAUCCUUGCUAAGUCAGCUCUUUAGUCACUGUACUCUGUCGGAUUCACUGUGUCAUGCUUGGCAGCAGGCCAAGAGCGAUCACUCAUGAAGUAAUUUUCACUGAAGCAGGUCCUUAGAUUUUCACUUUCUACUAGAAUGGAUUCCGUAAAACCAAACUAUUUUGCUCUUCCAUGGCCAUACUUGCUUGGAUUUUAAUAGUCCAUGCCUAAUAUUUGCACUUUACUCAUAUAGGUGUCAAUAAUGCCUAGUUUCUUUAUUGCUAAAACCACUAAAAUUCUACUUCUUUUAAGGUACAUAUUGCCUCUGGGCAUUUAAGUUGCAGAAAUAGCAGCAUCAUGUUCAGCUUUUGCCUAGCACUAUAUUCAACUGACACUUAUGACAUCAUCUUUAAUUUACCUCUAUUUUGUUGUAAUAGAAAAAUAACCAGUGGGUGUCACUUAAGAGUCACCUAUCUAAACUCGAAGUCUUUCAAUUCACACAGCUCACAACAAUCAGACUACUGACCACAUUACAUUCUGGUCCAUCUUUACGGAGUCGCAAAAACUUGAGCUUCUUAGGAGAACCCUCACAAAGACUGAUAAAUGAUCAUAUGCUUUCUGUUGUUUCCAUCCAUCUCUGUGAGCUAUUGGGCUCCAUUUCUUGAUUUUCAAAAACUUAGCAUGUAUAAUUCAAAUAUUACCUCUGCUCAAAAAGCAAGAGUUUGGAUUCUGAGUCCAAAAUCUAAAGCUUUUGCCUACUAACUUGGUUAUUCUUCUUUUUUGUCUACGCAUGGCUAUAGUCUCUCUUUGAGAUGCCAGACAUGUGAAUUUUGGUGACCUGCUGUGGUCUGACUGUAUACCUGCCCACCUAAUUUAUAUGUUGAAGUCUCAAGCCCCAAGGGAUGGUGUCAUGUGGUGUGGUCCUUGGGGAUUAAUGAGGGUGUGAGGGUGGAGCCUCUUGAAUAGAAUUAGCGACCUCAUCAAAAAGAUUGAGGUAGAUCCAUCCCCUUCCUGCCAUUUGAAGAUACAGGAGAAGUCAGAGGUAUGCAACCAGGAAGCGGGCGCUCACUGGAUCCUAUCUUGUUGCCACCCUGAUUUGAAUUUCUAACUCUAGAAUGUGAGCAGGAAAUGUCUGCUCCUUACAAGCUACUCAGUCUAUGCUAUGUUGUUAAUGGAAUUUGAAUGGUCUAAGGCAUGACCUGACCAAUUUUCUGCUUAGAGUCCAUCCCAGGACUCAAGAAAAUACCUAAGGAGAGAGAAAUCCUUUUACCCAAAUGUAUGUCUAGGCAUCUAGUCCAGUCCCUAUCAUCUCAGGAGCCAAUUAACAUUCAUUAAGAGAAUCAUGAAGGCAAUAGUAGGAAUCUAGAUAGUCAGGAAUCAAGAGUACAGUAAAUCAGAAAUACCUUGUAAACUCGUCCUAAUCCUACAAAGGAAGUUAUGAUGACAUUAAUAUUGUGUGAGAUGGUAUUUAAAACUAUUGUUUGGUUGCAGAGAUAUUUUCUUCAAGUGUCUAAAUUUAAUAUAUAGACUAUCAGGAUGAGAAUCAUAGACCUUGUCGUAAAUGGAAGACUCAUCCUCCACUUUGAAAUCAGUGAUUCUCAAGUGCCUUUUAAAACUAACCCAAAUACUUCUUUCAAAGGAUCAAUGAUGCUCUGAACUCUAACUAGUGACAUCCAUAUCAUCUACCACAGGAAUUAAUUUCUGGAAAAAGACUUUCGAUUCUUGUUUUGGGGUUGAGGAUAAAGUGUGUCCAGUAAAAACACUGGGUUCUUUUUCCUUUCUUUUUUUUUUUUCAACUUAAAGAGCAUUGGUACAAAUAGCAUAAAAAUAAUAAGUGGUCUUAUUGAAGUUGUCUCCUCUUCUAUUAGUCGCUAGAAUAGUCUAUUGCUCAAAUACUUUGCAUUUCGGCAACCCAUGAGAAUAAAUUCAGAUAAACUAAUGUGAGCAUAACUGAUAUUGCCCUGUACAGUCCUGGGUUUUGAAAAUAAACCAUGUGAUCUACCAUAAUGGUUCCCGUUACAACUGAGUGGUAUAGACUCAGGUACCACAGACAAAUUGGGCAAAACAUGUUGAAUAUGGCAACGUUACAAACUAGAAGGGACCCGUGACCUUGAAACGCUGUUUGCAGGACAGCCAACCUGAAGAGUCAUCUGAUCAGGAAUGCUUGCAUCGGACUCUUACACAAAGGAAGACAAUUCCCAUAAUGAUAAAAGUGUGGAUAAUUUUCUGGAUAGUUUUCUGUUCAUCAGUUAGAAAAUCUAGCAUUAACUUAAAUGACACACGUCUUUACAAAAAAUACCAUCUUGAGAAAACUUUUCAUAAAAUGACUAGAUUGUACACUUUAAAAAUGGCAAAUAUACCCUCCCACCACUCCUACGCACACAAAGAAAACCUUUAGACAGAUUUAAAAAUUAUAUUAUAUAUUUAAGAAAAUAGAUUACGUUCUAUACUCUGAGCAUAAUUCUACAUAUUCAUGAUGUACAAUAUAUUUUUUAAUGACCCCAUGAUUUUUGGUUGAGAUAUAUCUCUGCUGGUGCAGAAAUGUGAGUCGAGAUUGUUUCUAGACUUCGCAAUGUAUGUAAUUGAACAGAGUCACGAGUACAACUUUCUUCUGCAUUUUGACUUUUCUUUGAGGAUUGUCACGUGAGAAAAACGCGCUCUGUGAUCUUGACUCUGACAACCUCGCAAGAAGGUGCCAUACUUCUCUUGUUUCAGAUAGUUAUGGAUUCCUCGGUAGUAAUUACAGACAAGUAUGCCCAAAUAGAGACACACCAGGUUUCCCUCGUUUGUCUGGUCCAGCUCUUCCAGGCUGUGAUGAAGCCUAGAGAGUAGUUGAUAGAGGAGGGUGCGGUUCCAAGCAGCAUGGCUGUCCGCUGCGUUCAACAGGCUGAAAAUUUGCUGAAGCACGAGAUGGUGGAAACAGGCUAUGGAUCCAAGGCACGUCUCCACCAAGAGAGCAAAUCAGGAUGGAGCUGAGCAUCGCUCCAGCCGCCAGCCACUAACUGCACUGGGCCACUGAGAUUGCCGGUGAUUCUCUAGACGUUGCCCGGGCACCGCGAAAGAGCAGGAUGGUUCUAUUGCUGUGCCCCUGGAAAGCGUGGUUCCCCAGCGGGCCACGAGAGGGCGCGCAGGCGGCGUUUUCUGACGCUUGGGUAGGAAACAAAGGCUUGGAGGAGAUUUUUCUGUCUGUCCUGCUGGUAGGGCCUGAGAAAGGCUUUCGCAGCGCCAUGGGGCAGCUUGGUGCCGCUUUAAUAGUCCGUGAGAAGCCUUCGUUUCCCCGGCGCUGACUGCUGCGGACCGAGCUCUGCCUUGGCCAGCGGGGGACAUUUCUUCGGUACGGAACACAACGCCUCGCAUCAGGUGCGGGAUGGUUUCUGGGCGAGAUGCCGCCGGAUUCGCAGACGAGGACACCGUCGCAGGGGCUCGGGUGCGGCCCUCCCUGGGGCCCGAGGCGGGGGGACGCGGACGCCCCGCUGCGCUGUGGCGCUGUGACUUUCGAGGUGAAUUUUCAACCUUCCAGCGUUGCAAAGUGGUGGAGUGAGCUCUUAUGUGAAGACUGUGUCAGAAAACACGAGCUAUGGCUUCAGUAAAGAAAUGCGGAGAAUUCAAAUCUCAUAUAUUAGCCCCUUCAAAGGUAAAGGCAGAGAGGUACAAGAGGAUUUGCAAGUUUCAUCAGAGGGAGCUGGAUGGCUACCAGGUCCAGAAAUCACAGGCCACCUCUUCCUGCAUGUGAUGAUCCAGAAGACCUUCAACGUCUCCAGCACAAAGAGCUGAAAUUCCUCACUCGAUCAGAUGGGCAGUUGGAAGGAGGUGGCACUCUUCCUUUGUAAAUGUUUUAAUGGUCCACAGAGUAAAAUGGAUCCCACAUUUUAUUUCCCUUUUGCUGCAGCUACAGCUACUGCAACAGGGAUGUUCCCUCUGUCCAACAGCAUUCACAGGAGAAAAAAAAAAAUGCCUCUCAUAUGAGAGUUUCUGAGAAACCCAGAACUUUCACUGAAAUUUGGCUCUCAAUUGGUGGAUUUAUAAUCUUCAGGGAAAAUUGCCAUAAGCCAGAAACCUUAAUGGAAAAGGAAGUAGCUGUAUGAAUGUGAAGUUAGAGCUUCAUGAGGAGUGAAUGAGGAGAGCACGCUGGACAUUUCUACACUGCAGAGGAAGGAAGUCAUAGCAGUGAAACAACGGGAUCGAGGAAAGCAGAGGGGAAGGAGGUGCCAGCUCUCAGAAUCAGCAAUUGAACACUACAUAUAGAUAUAGAUUAAGAUAUGUAGUAUUUGAUAUAUAGUCUCCAUUAUCAUAUAUGUAGCAUAUACAUUUUAUGCUAUGCACAUACAUAUAUAUACCUGUAUACUAUAUUACUGUGUAUAUGUUAUACUGUUAUGUAUACAUUACACUGAUUUGAUGAGCCACUGUUUCCUAAUUCUGUUUAUUAGAUUGCCGGUGUUUUCCAGUCAGUUACAGAGAGAGGGAUAGGACAGUUCAUGGAUCUACAAGAAACAAUAAGAAAGCAGCCACCAUGUGCUAAGCCCCCACUCAGUGGAAGGUGCCCUGUAAACACCUGGUGGAGUUCCUGAAAAUGAGUCCCACAAAAAAGGCGGAGCUCCACAAACUCUGGACCCCUGGAGUUUUACACUUUCAAGUUCAUCCAUGCACUUCCAGCAAUUCUGAAAUUACAGUUGAAGUAUUUGUACCAAUUCCAGCCGCAGGUACAGGCUAUUGCUCUAGAUCAGAUGUGAUUCUCUGCAUUUCACUUCCUGUUCAGUAUCAGGGCAGGGACUUGCCCUGUGACCUCAAUCCUGAUGGCUGUAAAGGAACUGUUUUUCAAUUCAACUGCAGUUUUUAUAGUACUGAUGUGAGGUCGGGAAUAACAACUUCCAAGCUCGUUAAAUGUUUCACAUUGAACUGGAAGUUCUCCAAUAUAUGGGUACAUACACAACAUCAAUACAGCUAGCUCUUAAGGAGUGAUGUCCCUAAGUUAUUUUUUUCAUGACCAAUAUUCUAACAACAAUUUUGAACAAUUUAACUCAAUGCAUUCUGUGACAAAGCAGGGAUAAGAUUCUUUAUAAUGACUGAACAUGAGCCCUUCCUGUGUUAGGUAGAGAAUCGUUUCAAUGACUGUUUUCCUUAAAGAGGUUCAUUUUCAGGUCCCCUUCCUUACUUCAUCUCUUUGCAAAUGUAAUGAUAAACAGAAUGACCAAAUCAUAUUUAUUCAGACCUCUUCCUAGAAGCACAGUGACUCUUGUAUCUUCUGUUUUAGGUGGAAGUACAUCUUCAUGUAGAGUGCACAGCCUUCUAGCCUAUUCUUCUCGUCAUAGCAUGGAACAUAAGUAAUAUUAUUUUCUACUAUUAAAAGCAUUAAUUUUAAAAGUAAUUAAUAUCGAAUUACCAAUUAACCGAUUAUUGUUUUAGAUUACUUUCCUUACAAAAAACAAAGACACAAGAAAACAGGAACUGCAUUUCUAUGUCGACAGUAGAGAACUAGCAGAGGAAGUUUUCGCAUUAAAUAUAGCAGUACAAUAAAAUGAACAAAAAGUAAAAUUACACAUAUAGAUGUAUACCAACUGGCCCAAUAGGUAGAUCAAUGACAAAUCCUGUACUGUGUGGUAUAGAUGAUUCCCUGAGUUUUAUAUUAUGGGUUUUUGUCAACAUUUUUUAUCUGAAUAUAUGCAGUCACUAAA